rnacentral:rRNA from 1 species
AGUGAACGCUGGCGGUAGGCCUAACACAUGCAAGUCGAACGGCAGCACAGGAGAGCUUGCUCUCUGGGUGGCGAGUGGCGGACGGGUGAGGAAUACAUCGGAAUCUACUCUGUCGUGGGGGAUAACGUAGGGAAACUUACGCUAAUACCGCAUACGACCUACGGGUGAAAGCAGGGGACCUUCGGGCCUUGCGCGAUUGAAUGAGCCGAUGUCGGAUUAGCUAGUUGGCGGGGUAAAGGCCCACCAAGGCGACGAUCCGUAGCUGGUCUGAGAGGGUGAUCAGCCACACUGGAACUGAGACACGGUCCAGACUCCUACGGGAGGCAGCAGUGGGGAAUAGUGGACAAUGGGCGCAAGCCUGAUCCAGCCAUACCGCGUGGGUGAAGAAGGCCUUCGGGUUGUAAAGCCCUUUUGUUGGGAAAGAAAUCCAGCUGGCUAAUACCCGGUUGGGAUGACGGUACCCAAAGAAUAAGCACCGGCUAACUUCGUGCCAGCAGCCGCGGUAA